rnacentral:tRNA from 2 species
GGGAGUUGCCUACAGUUGGUAGAGCACUUGACUUUUAAUCAAGUUGUCCGGGGUUCGAAUCCCCGAUGUCUCA